CAGAGAGGCCAGCAAGCACUCUAGCCACAGCAUAUGGUAAAGUCUCUGCUUAAUUAAUGCAUCCUCAAUAGAAUUUAUCCAUUUUAAAUUUGUUUUCUUUUACUUGAAACAUCAUUAAUGUAAAGGGCAACAUUAAUCAACAUCUUGGAACUUAAAAGGGCAUUAAAGAGUGAUCUUUUCCCCUACGCAACAGAAUCUUUUCAAGUAGUUUUGUUUAACUGCAUCUCAUUCCAGGCACAUUCCACCGGGUCCGCGAGCAAAAGGCAAAUCUAGAGAGGCCCCUACUGGCCAGUGUUUUGAGCUGCAAGAGUCAAUUUUGAACUGUCUUGGAAAAAAAAAAGAGAGAUAGCUGGGAAAUAAAUGACUUUCAGCUUUUAUCUUAAAGUUGCACACAGAAGGGAUUACUGAUAAACAUAAUGUACAAAACACUGGAUAAUUGUGCUGCCACUUUUGAAGUCCUCCUCUCUAACUUUGCUUCUUUUCAGAAAAUAAAGAGAGUCCAAGGAUUUGGUCUACCUCUGAUGCUUGUGGGUACUUCUGUGACAUUUGCAGAUACUUUAAGAUUAUGCAACGAGAAAAUAACAGAACAUUCCAGGUUCUUACUCGCCUGACACUUUGAAUGCCUCUGUGGUUCUCCACAGUUCUACUUAUGCAGUGAGCUUGGUCAAGCAUACAAUGAACUGGCCAAAAGGUUAGUGCAGGGAGGUAUUUGUUUUAAUAUGGUACUUGGGCUAUUCCCGUUAGUAUGGGAUGUAUGAGAAGCCAUAAGAAAUAUGGCUAAUUAUUCAUCAGGCAAUUGUGUUGAUGUCUCUGAGCCACCUUUGGCUCUUCUGGGUAGCUUUGUUUGUGCAAAAUAAGCACAUGUUUUAAAAGGUCACUUGGAUGCCAGGCAUGCAGUAAAUGAAUUAUUAUAUCUGCAUCAAUCUCAAAAGCACACUGUUUACUUCAUGGAACAGUACAUUGACCACCCUUCGCAUUGUAACAUGACACAUUUGCUUCCUUAUAUUCCUUACUAGAGAUUAAAUUAUAAUAAUAAUGAUUAUCAUCGUUUUGUAGGCUAACACAUGAUCAAAGGAAAAUGACUCAUGAUAAUGAACAGCCAGAAACAAAGGGAUUAUUUUAAGGACAUAAAGGCCAUCAUAAAAACCACAGGGCACAAAAUUUAUACAAAAUCAUUUGGCCAGAAUCCUGACAAUUAACUCGGACGAAAAAAUGUGGUCAGGGUGCACCGAAGCAAAGAAGUGGAGGCUACCAAAGUUGGGCUUGAUAUUGUCUUUCUUUUUUUCAUGGAGUACCUGAGCUAGGGAGUCUGCUGAUGCUUAUGAUUAUCAUGGAGAAAAGAAAAGAAAAGGAAAGGAAAGGAAAAGAAGCAAGGAAGGCAAGGAAAGAAAGAAAGAACUGAAGAAGAGAAGAAAAGAAGGAAGAAAGAAAUGAAAGAAGGAAGAAGGAAGGAAAGAAGAAGGAAGAAGGAAGGAAGAAGAAGAAGAAAGAA
rnacentral:lncRNA from 1 species